rnacentral:rRNA from 1 species
GACGAACGCUGGCGGCGUGCUUAACACAUGCAAGUCGAACGGAAAGGCCCUGCUUUUGUGGGGUGCUCGAGUGGCGAACGGGUGAGUAACACGUGAGUAACCUGCCCUUGACUUUGGGAUAACUUCUGGGAACUGGGGCUAAUACCGGAUAGGAGCUCCUGCUGCAUGGUGGGGGUUGGAAAGUUUCGGCGGUUGGGGAUGGACUCGCGGCUUAUCAGCCUGUUGGUGGGGUAGUGGCUUACCAAGGCUUUGACGGGUAGCCGGCCUGAGAGGGUGACCGGCCACACUGGGACUGAGAUGCGGCCCAGACACCUACGGGAGGGAGCAGUGGGGAAUAUUGCACAAUGGGCGGAGGGCUGAUGAAGCAACGCCGCGUGCGGGAUGACGGCCUUCGGGUUGUAAACCGCUUGCGCCUGUGACGAAGCGUGAGUUACGGUAAUGGGUAAAGAAGCACCGGCUAAAUACGUG